UAUUCGAGUUUGACCCUNGGCUCAGAUCAACGCUGGCGGCGUGCCUAACACAUGCAAGUCGAACGCGAAAGGGGGUUUCGGCUCCCGAGUAGAGUGGCGCACGGGUGAGUAACACGUGGGUAAUCUGCCUUUGGGUGGGGAAUAACGUUCCGAAAGGGACGCUAAUACCGCAUAACGCAGCGGCACCGCAUGGUGACAGUUGUUAAAGUGGGGGAUCUUCGGACCUCACGCCUAAAGAGGAGCCCGCGCCCGAUUAGCUAGUUGGUGGGGUAAUGGCUUACCAAGGCGACGAUCGGUAUCCGGCCUGAUAUGUCCGUCCCCCCCGCUGGGAGUGGGAUGUAUGAUAUAUUCUAAUAACGAAUCACACCGCUUAGAAUUUUAGAGCAAUAACCGAACCUCUCCAAUAUAACACUUUACAUAAAAUGAGAAG
rnacentral:rRNA from 1 species